CCAAUAGCGUAUAUUAAAGUUGUUGCAGUUAAAAAGCUCGUAGUUGAACUUCGGGGUUUACCCAUUGGUCAGGCUUAAUUGUCUGUACUGGUGAGAUGAAUCUCUACCUUCUGAGGAACUUUCAUGCCAUUUAUUUGGUGUGAUGGGAAAUCAGGACUGUUACUUUGAAAAAAUUAGAGUGUUUAAAGCAGGCUAACGUCUGAAUACAUUAGCAUGGAAUAAUGAAAUAGGACGGACUGAUUCUAUUUCGUUGGUUUCUAGGAUCACCGUAAUGAUUAAUAGGGAUAGUUGGGGGCAUUAGUAUUCAAUUGUCAGGGGUGAAAUUCUUGGAUUUAUUGAAGACUAACUACUGCGAAAGCAUUUGCCAAGGAUGUUUUCAUUAAUCAAGAACGAAAGUUAGGGGAUCGAAGACGAUCAGAUACCGUCGUAGUCUUAACCAUAAACUAUGCCGACUAGGGAUCGGACGAAGUUAAUUUUAUAAUGACGCGUUCGGCACCUUACG
rnacentral:rRNA from 1 species